UAUGCCUGAACCUGGAAUAACACGAACCAAUUUCACUGUCUUUCCUCAAAUAUCUGCAAGUGCUUCUACACUACACUCUCGACACAAAAAAUUCAAUCGAUUUUGAAAAUCUCUGAAAUUUCUUCAAGAAAACAAUCACUUUCUUUAGUAACAAAUGCCAUUUCCUGAGCAAUUAAUUUUGUGCCAUAAAUUUAUCCCCUUUUGUUUGGAAAGUUUACUUAUCUGUUAUGAGACGAAGCAAGGAGGCCAACUGAAAUUGGGAAAGAAGAAAAGAGGAAGACCACAAGCAGAGAAAGAAGGAAAUGCAGCCAACGAUUUUACAUAAAAACUCAAUUCGGGAAACGGUGUCGUUUUGGAUCAAAUGAAAUAUUCAAAAGCUAAACACGUUUUCUUUAGUUUUCAGUUUCCCUUUUUACACUUUUGACUUCUAUUAUAACCAUCAGGUGGAGGAGAAAAGGGCAAGUUGAUUGUGAAAAAAAAACCCUUUAUCUCAGAACUCUCUCUCUAUACUCUUUCUACUUCAUAUCUAUUUCUUAUCUUCUUUAAUUUCUUCUUAGUUGGUGUAAUUGACUUGGUUAUUCCAAUUAAUAUUGUAAUUAAUAUACUAAGUGUUGAAGUUCCUUUUCCAAUUUUUGUGUUAUCAUUGCUGCAAUUGUUGGUUUUGGGUUGAGAUUCAAGCUCAACCAUUACAAUUGGUAUCAGAGCAUGUGAUUCGGGUAUGGCUGAAACUAGGAGCAAAUCAAAUGAGAAGCACCUUAAGAGUUAAAUAAAGAAAUAUCAGAUUUGGGUAUGGCAGCAAAAUCAUGGGAUCAAAUGUUGAAGGUGGUUUGCUAUGGAGCAUUUGAUGGGAGAAAUGAACAGUAAAUAUGAAUCUAUGGUAUAUAUGAUUGCUCGGAUAAAUGAGAGUAAAGCAAACCACAAGGAGAAACGAGUUGGGUUAUGGUACUCUAUCUCAAAUCACCAAUGGUAGUCUUUUGGAAAGUUACCAUCACUCUGGAAAUACAGUGGGAGCUAGAGAGACUAGAAUGAAUACCAAAUUACCCAACAUAGAUUUUCCUUAUUUUGGAGGAGGAGAAGGUCCUAGAGAAUGGUUGUGCGAAGCCUGAAAAUAUUUCCAGAUACAAAA
rnacentral:lncRNA from 1 species